AUUGAACGCUGGCGGCAGGCCUAACACAUGCAAGUCGAGCGGUAGCACAGAGAGCUUGCUCUCGGGUGACGAGCGGCGGACGGGUGAGUAAUGUCUGGGAAACUGCCUGAUGGAGGGGGAUAACUACUGGAAACGGUAGCUAAUACCGCAUAACGUCGCAAGACCAAAGUGGGGGACCUUCGGGCCUCAUGCCAUCAGAUGUGCCCAGAUGGGAUUAGCUAGUAGGUGGGGUAACGGCUCACCUAGGCGACGAUCCCUAGCUGGUCUGAGAGGAUGACCAGCCACACUGGAACUGAGACACGGUCCAGACUCCUACGGGAGGCAGCAGUGGGGAAUAUUGCACAAUGGGCGCAAGCCUGAUGCAGCCAUGCCGCGUGUGUGAAGAAGGCCUUCGGGUUGUAAAGCACUUUCAGCGGGGAGGAAGGCGAUAAGGUUAAUAACCUUGUCGAUUGACGUUACCCGCAGAAGAAGCACCGGCUAACUCCGUGCCAGCAGCCGCGGUAAUACGGAGGGUGCAAGCGUUAAUCGGAAUUACUGGGCGUAAAGCGCACGCAGGCGGUCUGUCAAGUCGGAUGUGAAAUCCCCGGGCUCAACCUGGGAACUGCAUUCGAAACUGGCAGGCUAGAGUCUUGUAGAGGGGGGUAGAAUUCCAGGUGUAGCGGUGAAAUGCGUAGAGAUCUGGAGGAAUACCGGUGGCGAAGGCGGCCCCCUGGACAAAGACUGACGCUCAGGUGCGAAAGCGUGGGGAGCAAACAGGAUUAGAUACCCUGGUAGUCCACGCCGUAAACGAUGUCGAUUUGGAGGUUGUGCCCUUGAGGCGUGGCUUCCGGAGCUAACGCGUUAAAUCGACCGCCUGGGGAGUACGGCCGCAAGGUUAAAACUCAAAUGAAUUGACGGGGGCCCGCACAAGCGGUGGAGCAUGUGGUUUAAUUCGAUGCAACGCGAAGAACCUUACCUGGUCUUGACAUCCACAGAACUUUCCAGAGAUGGAUUGGUGCCUUCGGGAACUGUGAGACAGGUGCUGCAUGGCUGUCGUCAGCUCGUGUUGUGAAAUGUUGGGUUAAGUCCCGCAACGAGCGCAACCCUUAUCCUUUGUUGCCAGCGGUCAGGCCGGGAACUCAAAGGAGACUGCCAGUGAUAAACUGGAGGAAGGUGGGGAUGACGUCAAGUCAUCAUGGCCCUUACGACCAGGGCUACACACGUGCUACAAUGGCAUAUACAAAGAGAAGCGACCUCGCGAGAGCAAGCGGACCUCAUAAAGUAUGUCGUAGUCCGGAUUGGAGUCUGCAACUCGACUCCAUGAAGUCGGAAUCGCUAGUAAUCGUAGAUCAGAAUGCUACGGUGAAUACGUUCCCGGGCCUUGUACACACCGCCCGUCACACCAUGGGAGUGGGUUGCAAAAGAAGUAGGUAGCUUAACCUUCGGGAGGGCGCUUACCACUUUGUGAUUCAUGACUGGGGUGAAUCGAAAA
rnacentral:rRNA from 1 species